AAUUCUUCCUCUCGUCGAUUCUCUGCACUUGUCGCCGCUGGAAGAGGAAGAAGAGGAGGAGGAGGAGAGGAAGAUGAAGAGGAAGAGGAGGUUGUUCCUUUACUUGGCAGGACUCCUGCUCAACUGGAAGGUUAUUUGAGAGCAACAACUCAGCGGGCAGAGACGCAAAUUCCACAGGAUGAAUGAGACAACAACACACCUCCAUCCUGUCACAGAGGACAGCAGAGAGUGAAGUUUGGGCUGAAAUAAAAGUGACCGCUGGAGGGGCCUGAAGAGCAGAAAAACACAAUCAAAUACAGAAAAUAUUAAUAAAGGAUUUGUUUGUGUUGGUGGA